GCACUCAGGCCUAGCAUCUGAAAGCAGUUCAGUCCAGGCCCGGCAUACGUGGAACCAAAGGCAGGUGGCAAGGAGAGGCCUGGGCCAGCUCACCUGUACAGCUGUCCUCUCACGACAGAAAAAGGCACUUGAGCAGACAGGACCCCACCGCGGUCCGGCCAGGUUUAGAGGCUCCAGGAAGAGGUGAGGGCGUGGAGACCCCGCACCUGCCUGGGCCGCACAGUCACAUGCGUGGGUCCCGCGGGCCCGGGCGGCUGUCCACCCCCGUGCACACUCGGAGUCACCGUCUGAGGAGAGACCUGAAAUGGUACAAGAGCAACAGCCCGGCCGCCUCUGGUCACCAGCGUCAGUGCUGGAGUGUGGUUCCCCCAGCCCCCGGCCGGCUCUGCGAUGCCUUCGCUCAGGCCAAAGCGUGGGGGCCCCUGCUGCCUUCUUUCUCCUGGCUUUCGAGCGAUAAAGGUGGGCCUUAGAGAAAACUGCUAGAAGACCCUAAGAGCUUCGAACUAGAGAAAAUGCAAACAGAACAGAGCCCACAAAGUCCUCACGCUAGAUGUAGAAGACGAAGCCCCAAACCGGCACCCGACUGGCCCACUCAAGAAACUGGCCUGACCUUCCACUCACUCACUGCACUCAGGCACCUUCCCCAGGACGCCACCAGCUGCUCUGUGGUUAUCCCUGCGGAACGGGGCCGACUUCCCAGGCUCUGGGGACAGCCACCAACCUGGCUGGACGUACAGCCCCGGCCCGCCCCACAAGGAAUUCAUUCGGGGAUGAAAAGGGACCUGGAGAGCGCCUGCAGCAUGAUUCCCAACAGGCCCGACUAAGCGACCGGACACGGACGGACGGCGUGGGCACCCUUCUCAGGAUGGCCACCAACCGCUCCCCCUGUGCCAGAAGAUUCCAACUGCAGGUGGGGGCCCUGUGAUGACUCUCACCAAGAGGCAGGGACUGUGCCUGCUGAAGAGACAAGACGCGUGGAGGGGCCUCCAGAGGCACACGAUGAACUCGGAGGCCCUGGCUGACAGCAGUAUGAGAGAACUUUCCUGGACCUUCCAGGCCAGCUAUUAAACGGUCACAUGAACGACCUCAACGCCUCAUGGAACAAAAGAAACUGCCCAGUCAACCCCCAACAUCGGGAGAAGUAACAAACUGCCAAUAGUUGAAGUCACUGAGUUUCAAGGUGGUUGCUCCCAGCGAGGGAGAGCGGACCCAGCCGGCAAAACCGUGAAGGCAGUGAGUACCAGAACACCCAGGACGAUGGUUCUGUCCGGAUGGCAGGAGGGGCAAGCAGAGGUCUUCUGAGACCCUGAGAGCAUUCCGUCUCUUUACUUGGACACACCUAGAUGUAUUAUCUAAAUCACACACACACAAUCCAUAUACUUCCAUACGGUACCAUUUCUCCAAAGUUGACACAAUUUUCAGUAAGAAAAGAGAGAGGGACAGGUGCUACACUCAAGCCUGCAGAGAUGGGGUUAUUUCCAAGCACACUCCUGGCCUCUCUCACUGGGGUGUCCAUCAGGUUUCAGCGGACUCGAGUGGGGUGCGCGGGGGGCUGGCCACGGCAAACACGGUCCCGCCCGUUCCCCCAGUUCCCAAACAUCCGCAAGCAGAUGAGGACAUAAGAAGGGCUUCUCCUUGGGUGGUGAAAUGCAAGCAAUUCAACAAAACCUGGAUCCCAGGUCCCCACGCCCCCGCCCCCACCCACGACGAAAUGGCA